rnacentral:rRNA from 1 species
GACGAACCGAGCGAACGUUGUUCGGAAUCACUGGGCGUAAAGCGCACGUAGGCGGGUUCUUAAGUCGGUGGUGAAAUCCUGGAGCUCAACUCCAGAACUGCCUCCGAUACUGAGAGCCUCGAGUCCGGGAGAGGUGAGUGGAACUGCGAGUGUAGAGGUGAAAUUCGUAGAUAUUCGCAAGAACACCAGUGGCGAAGGCGGCUCACUGGCCCGGUACUGACGCUGAGGUGCGAAAGCGUGGGGAGCAAACAGG